rnacentral:rRNA from 1 species
GACGAACGCUGGCGGCGUGCCUAAUACAUGCAAGUAGAACGCUGAAGGAGGAGCUUGCUUCUCUGGAUGAGUUGCGAACGGGUGAGUAACGCGUAGGUAACCUGCCUGGUAGCGGGGGAUAACUAUUGGAAACGAUAGCUAAUACCGCAUAAGAGUAGAUGUUGCAUGACAUUUGCUUAAAAGGUGCAAUUGCAUCACUACCAGAUGGACCUGCGUUGUAUUAGCUAGUUGGUGGGGUAACGGCUUACCAAGGCGACGAUACAUAGCCGACCGGAGAGGGGGGACGGCCACACUGGGACUGAGACACGGCCCAGACUCCUACGGGAGGCAGCAGUAGGGAAUCUUCGGCAAUGGACGGAAGUCUGACCGAGCAACGCCGCGUGAGUGAAGAAGGUUUUCGGAUCGUAAAGCUCUGUUGUAAGAGAAGAACGAGUGUGAGAGUGGAAAGUUCACACUGUGACGGUAUCUUACCAGAAAGGGACGGCUAACUACGUG